rnacentral:rRNA from 1 species
GACGAACCGAGCGAACGUUGUUCGGAAUCACUGGGCUUAAAGGGCGCGUAGGCGGACUAUCAAGUCUGGGGUGAAAUCCCGCGGCUCAACCGUGGAACUGCCUCAGAUACUGACGGUCUCGAGGGAGGUAGGGGCAUGCGGAACUGUAGGUGGAGCGGUGAAAUGCGUUGAUAUCUACAGGAACUCCGGUGGCGAAAGCGGCGUGCUGGACCUCUUCUGACGCUGAGGAGCGAAAGCCAGGGGAGCAAACGGG